UGGUUGGCCAUCAUUUUGCCUGCGUCACCUCGAACCCUUUGCCCUUCUAAAUGGUGCGUUCGACCCCGGAGGUGUCCCCAGCAAACAGGUGGAUGCAAGGCAAAUUUACGCCGGGGUGGCUGGUGUCCAGCGGCAAUGCCAAAAUCAGGAAUAAUCAGUAAAAUUCUUGCUGCUUGUGCUUGUUGAAUUUACCUUCUCAAUAAAGGUGAUUCAUAGCACACUACUCGAACAGGAGAAAAAUAACAGCAGGGAAUCUCGUUCGCUUCCGAAGAUUUACAGACAGGGUCCUGUAGUUAUUGCAUGAAUUCCAAGGCGUGAAUCCAUUCAACAGGAUAAGGCAAAUCUACCAACACGGACACACACAGUUUGGUGAGUCUACGCAACAUCGAGUUGAUUCUCAUGAGAACUAGGUGUGUUACAGAAUGCCGUGACGUUAUUUGUAUCUCAAAUGUGCAAUUCACUUUCCCGUCUUUGCAGGAUGUUGGGAGCACUAGGGCAAGGCGUUGUGUUCAUUUAUGGAUUUGAUCACAAGCUACUUCCUUAUAUAACAGACCUCGUGCCGCAAAAGUUGCCGGCCCUCAUGAAUUCAGUUUACUAGCAGCUUUUGCGGCCACUUCCGUCCGUGUAGGACAGUACACGUCUCAAAGAAAAACUAACGCCCCACAGAAGCGGGUCUGAUUGGCUGGUAGUGAGUAUCGAUGAGGUUCGACAAAAGCUCAUUCAUUUUGCUGAGCGCAUAUUGUCAACCCAAACCCAAUCAACUUUGUCGCUUUUGCUUCGGUGUCAAAAUGUGGACGUUUUUUGUGCAGAGUCAGAUUCCCCCAUCUGGGAAUUUACAAACAGUGGCUGAGAUCUGCUCGCUGUCAAAGUCCGAUUCUCUGCAUGCCCAGGUGAUGUGGUAUUUAUAACUUGUUUUGCUUUGAACUGUUAUACAUAACACUUGUACCAUGUUAUUUCUUUUAUCGGAUACGGCCUCGCAGCGCUGCAA
rnacentral:lncRNA from 1 species